UGGGGAAUAUUGGACAAUGGGCGCAAGCCUGAUCCAGCCAUGCCGCGUGAGUGAAGAAGGCCCUAGGGUUGUAAAGCUCUUUCAGCGGGGAAGAUAAUGACGGUACCCGCAGAAGAAGCUCCGGCUAACUUCGUGCCAGCAGCCGCGGUAAUACGAAGGGAGCUAGCGUUGUUCGGAAUUACUGGGCGUAAAGGGCGCGUAGGCGGGUUGUUAAGUCAGGGGUGAAAUGCCAAGGCUCAACCUUGGAACUGCCUUUGAUACUGGCAACCUUGAGUUCGGGAGAGGUGAGUGGAAUUCCGAGUGUAGAGGUGAAAUUCGUAGAUAUUCGGAGGAACACCAGAAGCGAAGGCGGCUCACUGGCCCGAGACUGACGCUGAGGCGCGAAAGCGUGGGGAGCAAACAG
rnacentral:rRNA from 1 species